UAGUAUAAUAAUAUAAGAAAUAAAUACUAAAAAAAAUGGGUUGUUACAACUCUCCCCCACUUAAAAGAUUUUCGGCCUCGAAAAUUACCUCAAACGAACAACUCCGGAUACGAUUCCUUCAUCUUAUCCUCGAGUUCCCAAGUAAUAUUUCCAUUGGAGGCUCCGCCCCAUAUCACUUUCACCAAAGCAAUCUCCUUACCACGAAGCUUCUUCACUUCUCGAUCUUCAAUUCG
rnacentral:lncRNA from 1 species